rnacentral:rRNA from 1 species
GUGGGGAAUCUUGCGCAAUGGGCGAAAGCCUGACGCAGCCAUGCCGCGUGAAUGAUGAAGGUCUUAGGAUUGUAAAAUUCUUUCACCGGGGACGAUAAUGACGGUACCCGGAGAAGAAGCUCCGGCUAACUUCGUGCCAGCAGCCGCGGUAAUACGAAGGGGGCUAGCGUUGCUCGGAAUUACUGGGCGUAAAGGGCGCGUAGGCGGACAGCUUAGUCAGAGGUGAAAGCCCAGGGCUCAACCUUGGAAUUGCCUUUGAUACUGGCUGUCUUGAGUUUGGGAGAGGUGAGUGGAACUCCGAGUGUAGAGGUGAAAUUCGUAGAUAUUCGGAAGAACACCAGUGGCGAAGGCGACUCACUGGCCCAAUACUGACGCUGAGGCGCGAAAGCGUGGGGAGCAAACAGGAUUAGAAACCCGAGUAGUCC